CCCCGCCCACUUAAUAAACAAUUCAUAUAGAAAAAUAGCGAUUCUAACGGAUUGCUGUUUUUCUAUAUGAAUUGUUUAUUAAGUGGGCGGGGAUUAGAGUUGAGAGGCGGAGCUUCUUCUUAACUUCUUCUUCGAAGUUU
rnacentral:ncRNA from 1 species